rnacentral:rRNA from 1 species
AGAGUUUGAUCCUGGCUCAGGACGAACGCUGGCGGCACGCUUAACACAUGCAAGUCGAACGGAGAACAUUGAGCUUGCUUAAUGUUCUUAGUGGCGGACGGGUGAGUAACACGUGAGUAACCUGCCUCUGAGAGUGGGAUAGCUUCUGGAAACGGAUGGUAAUACCGCAUAACAUCAUGGAUUCGCAUGUUUCUAUGAUCAAAGAUUUAUCGCUCAGAGAUGGACUCGCGUCUGAUUAGCUAGUUGGUAAGGUAACGGCUUACCAAGGCGACGAUCAGUAGCCGGACUGAGAGGUUGAUCGGCCACAUUGGGACUGAGACACGGCCCAGACUCCUACGGGAGGCAGCAGUGGGGAAUAUUGCACAAUGGGGGAAACCCUGAUGCAGCGAUGCCGCGUGGAGGAAGAAGGUUUUCGGAUUGUAAACUCCUGUUGAAGAGGACGAUAAUGACGGUACUCUUUUAGAAAGCUCCGGCUAACUACGUGCCAGCAGCCGCGGUAAUACGUAGGGAGCGAGCGUUGUCCGGAAUUACUGGGUGUAAAGGGAGCGUAGGCGGGAUGGCAAGUCAGAUGUGAAAACUAUGGGCUCAACCCAUAGACUGCAUUUGAAACUGUUGUUCUUGAGUGAGGUAGAGGUAAGCGGAAUUCCUGGUGUAGCGGUGAAAUGCGUAGAGAUCAGGAGGAACAUCGGUGGCGAAAGGCGGCUUACUGGGCCUUUACUGACGCUGAGGCUCGAAAGCGUGGGGAGCAAACAGGAUUAGAUACCCUGUAGUCCACGCCGUAACGAUGAUUACUAGGUGUGGGGGGACUGACCCCUUCCGUGCCGCAGUUAACACAAUAGUAAUCCACCUGGGGAGUACGGCCGCAAGUUGAAACUCAAGGAAUGACGGGGCCCGCACAGCAGUGGAGUAUGUGUUUAUCGAGCACGCGAAGAACCUACCAGUCUGACAUCGAGUGGACGUACUAGAGAUAGGUAUUUUUCUUCGAACACAAGACAGGUGGUGCAUGUGUCGUCCAGCUUCGUGUCGUGGAAUGUGGGUAAGUCCCGCACGAGCGCACCUACAUAGUGCUACGCAGAGAGAACUCUUAUUGACUGCGGUGCAAACAGAAGAAGUGGAUGACUCAAUCAUCAUUGCCUUUAGACCUUGGCCUCACAUCGGUACAUCCACAAUGGCAAUAUAACAGAGGGAAGCAAUACAGCGAUGUGGAGCAAAUCCCCAAAAAUUGUCCCAGUUCAGAUUGCAGGCUGCAACUCGCCUGCAUGAAGUCGGAAUUGCUAGUAAUCGCAGAUCAGCAUGCUGCGGUGAAUACGUUCCCGGGCCUUGUACACACCGCCCGUC